rnacentral:lncRNA from 1 species
CAAGAGCAUCUUCAAACAGUCAUGUGUGUCCUCCUUGAAGCCACAGGUGCCUAGAGCUGUCACUGCCCUUCCCGCCACGAGGCCACCGGAGUUUCCGCUUGCGGGGAAAAUACAAGGGUUCUGGGCAUCAGUUCAACCGCUCAGCUCCCAUCCAGGCAGUAUGAAGGUUGUUGGCUUGAUUCCCUGGACAAACACAGAGCGCGCGCACCGGCCAGGUCUGUGGGCUGGGCCUGGCCCACCAACACCGGCCACCAACGGCAGGCCUCCAGGGUGGCAGCUCACCCACAUUCCAGAACCACAGGCCAGGGCAUGCCUGCUGGGUGGCAGGCGCACAUUUACCAUCAAGAGGAAGCAGAAAGAAACUCCUUUGUCUUCUGGUAGCAUCCUGGUGACAGCGCACACGCGUGCGCGCGCGCGCACACACACACACACACACACACACACACACACAGCAGCUGUCUCUUUGGCCAACAAUUCUGCCUUCAUGAUACAGAGCAGUAAUGUGGGGUAGGAACCCCCAAGUUUCCGGUGGGGCAGCUUGGGUUGAAACCUCAGCUCUGCUGCUCACCACCUGAUUGGGAGGGCCGGACUCCAGGGCCCUCUAGGUCCUCAUCUCUGAAAAGAAGCCUCAGAAAUCACGCACCUCACAGAGCGGCUAUAAUGUUAAAGAGGUAAUACAUGUUCAGCAUUUCAAGUAGUUGAGUACUCCCCCGAAAGUAGCACAGGGUAUCUGGGGGUUUUGGCUUGCUUUUUUUUUUUUUUUUCUAUUUUCCACGUUUAAACAAGGCCACAAUUUGCCAAAAGCCAAAAUGCUGGGUCAGAGGGUCUAUGCAGUUUCUCAGUGCUUAUUUCAGGAAGACAGACUGAGCUUAAAACUCUGAAUCUGUUUAUAGCAAAGCUGAUGUGUCACUUUCCCCACACCCCUGCCAGCACUGGGCUUUAUCAUCUUGUAAUUGUUUCCUAAUUGAAUCAGCAUGUAGCAGGCUUUUGUUUGCAUUUCUUUCUUUGCCUACAAGGCUGUGCAUUCUUCCAGGUAGCGGCUGUCUACACUCUCGCAGGGGUAAAUGACUUGUUUACUCUUUUUCAAUGUUUCUUGAGUGGCCUCUGUGACAUCCUUUGAUGGGUCCACAAGGAAAGCGCCUUUUGAGUAGGAAGGGAGACGGGAGAGGGUUGUAGCAUGGGAACGUGGUGAGAGCUUCUGCCCCCACCCACCCCCAUCUCCUGCCUUCACUUCACCUGAGUUUUCCCAGCUGAGGAAAUGCUUCUCUGGGAUGGGGUUGCAGGCACCCUGGCUGGGAGGAAGCAAGGAGGGGCCAGAGGAACUGAUUGCAUUCUCAGAGCAACAAGCCAGAAACCUAACAGGCUCCAUUCCUGCCCCAUUGGCCACCCGCUUCUCACCCCUAACUCUCCUAGAGCCCCUGAGUAUCGGGAAACUUUCCUUCCAGACUAAUGACAUCAGAAUAAAUUCAUUCGAGUUAUGAUACUGCAAUGAUUUUCUCUCUUUGUUCCUUAAUCACUCAAACUNNNNNNNNNNNNNNNNNNNNNNNNNNNNNNNNNNNNNNNNNNNNNNNNNNNNNNNNNNNNNNNNNNNNNNNNNNNNNNNNNNNNNNNNNNNNNNNNNNNAACUCCCAGGUGCUGUGUUAGCAAGAUGCCUGGAAUCUCCUUUUUGGGUCCUCCCACACCUUGAAUGGUCCAAGGAUCCCUAGGUCAUCUUCAACCCACAGGUAGGGGUGGGGCCUGUUCCCCCUAAACUUCACUGCUGCCAUGGCCGCUUACUACCACAUGGGGUCGCUGUUGAAGAGGGCUCUCCAACAGUCCUGUGGACGUUUGUCCACUUUGCAAUGACGCCUGAGCUUGUUGGACCUUUGCCUGGGUCUUGGAGGUCACCCACACUUGGGACUCAAGUUUAUAGCUCUCGUGGGUCACUCUUAAACACUCAGAACAGAAUGGAAAGUCACCUACCCACCUGAGUCCUGAUCCCAGCCCCUCACAGGAGGCCCCUGGGAGGACUGGAUCGUAGCACUGCCCCUAGGGUGACAGAGAGGGAACUGGAGCCCCAAAGAGUAAUUUUUCCAAAAUCGCUUGGCCAGGGGCACCCAAUUCAAGCUGAACGCCCCAUCCAGUCCUCUCAGCACUUUUGUUUUUAGAGGCUGCCAGUGAAACUCCUGGGUUUCCCAGGUGUCUCAGUGGUAAAGAAUCUACCUGCCAAGCAGGAGACAGACUCAAUCCCCGGGUCAGGAAGAUCCCCUGGAGAGAAGAAUGGCAACCAGUAUUCUUGCCUGGGAAAUUUUACGGACAGAGGAGCCUGGCAGGCUACAGUUAGUGGGGUCACAAAAGAGUAGGACACGACUUAGCAACUAAACAACAAAAAGUGAAACUCCUGUUUCUCAG